rnacentral:rRNA from 1 species
GACGAACGCUGGCGGCGUGCUUAACACAUGCAAGUCGAACGGAAAGGCCCUGCUUUUGUGGGGUGCUCGAGUGGCGAACGGGUGAGUAACACGUGAGUAACCUGCCCUUGACUUUGGGAUAACUUCAGGAAACUGGGGCUAAUACCGGAUAGGAGCUCCUGCUGCAUGGUGGGGGUUGGAAAGUUUCGGCGGUUGGGGAUGGACUCGCGGCUUAUCAGCUUGUUGGUGGGGUAGUGGCUUACCAAGGCUUUGACGGGUAGCCGGCCUGAGAGGGUGACCGGCCACAUUGGGACUGAGAGACGGCCCAGACUCCUACGGGAGGCAGCAGUGGGGAAUAUUGCACAAUGGGCGGAAGCCUGAUGCAGCAACGCCGCGUGCGGGAUGACGGCCUUCGGGUUGUAAACCGCUUUCGCCUGUGACAAAGCGUGAGUGACGGUAAUGGGUAAAGAAGCACCGGCUAACUACGUG